AACGAACGCUGGCGGCAGGCCUAACACAUGCAAGUCGAGCGCGCCCUUCGGGGUGAGCGGCGGACGGGUGAGUAACGCGUGGGAACGUGCCCUUUUCUACGGAAUAGCCUCGGGAAACUGAGAGUAAUACCGUAUACGCCCUUUGUGGGAAAGAUUUAUCGGAAAAGGAUCGGCCCGCGUUGGAUUAGGUAGUUGGUGGGGUAAUGGCCUACCAAGCCGACGAUCCAUAGCUGGUUUGAGAGGAUGAUCAGCCACACUGGGACUGAGACACGGCCCAGACUCCUACGGGAGGCAGCAGUGGGGAAUCUUAGACAAUGGGGGCAACCCUGAUCUAGCCAUGCCGCGUGAGUGAUGAAGGCCUUAGGGUUGUAAAGCUCUUUCAGCUGGGAAGAUAAUGACGGUACCAGCAGAAGAAGCCCCGGCUAACUCCGUG
rnacentral:rRNA from 1 species